rnacentral:rRNA from 1 species
UACGUAGGGGACAAGCGUUAUCCGGAUUUACUGGGUGUAAAGGGAGCGUAGGCGGCCAGCCAAGUCAGAAGUGAAAUCCCGCGGCUCAACUGCGGGCGUGCUUUUGAAACUGGAGGGCUUGAGUACUGGAGGGGCAAGCGGAAUUCCUGGUGUAGCGGUGAAAUGCAUAGAUAUCAGGAAGAACACCGGAGGCGAAGGCGGCUUGCUGGACAGAGACUGACGCUGAGGCUCGAAGGCGUGGGGAG